UUACGGUCAAAUCACGCUGAAACACCGGUUCUCGUACGAUCACCGAAGUUAAGCAGCGUAGAGCCAGGUCAGUGCUUAGAUGGGGGACCGCUUGGGAACACCUGGUACUGUAAG
rnacentral:rRNA from 1 species